rnacentral:rRNA from 1 species
AGUUGCCAUCAUUCAGUUGGGCACUCUAGCGAGACUGCCGGUAAUAAACCGGAGGAAGGUCGGGAUGACGUCAAAUCAUCAUGCCCCUUAUGACCUGGGCUACACACGUGCUACAAUGGUUGGUACAACGAGUUGCGAGUCGGUGACGGCGAGCUAAUCUCUUAAAGCCAAUCUCAGUUCGGAUUGUAGGCUGCAACUCGCCUACAUGAAGUCGGAAUCGCUAGUAAUCGCGGAUCAGCACGCCGCGGUGAAUACGUUCCCGGGCCUU